GGCCCGAGCUCCAGUUGAUGAAGUCACAUGGUUCCAGGGGCAGCAGCUGUUUCCCUGAAUACGAGGAUGGUGCUUUGAGACCAACCAGAAGUGAACUGUUUGUACAGAUUGAUGCUGCUGAAAUGCAAAGUGGAAACAUGUCAGGGGAAACAUGCACCCUGUCACCCCAGGAGAGAUGGCUCGGUGGUGAAUCAGACCCACAGGACAGUGGGGAACGCCAGAAGCUGGCCAGAGUUGCAGGAUUUUCACACACGACGAACGGGAAGAUGUUUAAGACCUGAGGGCGGAGGAAGAGGUGGGAGAGAACAGCACAUGCCUGUAUACCCUGCUGUGGAAAGAACCAGAAAAGCUGAAAGAAAACCUGUGAGGCCAGAAGCUGGGAUGUGGGAAGGCUUGAGAAGGGUGCAGGAGGUCAAAGCCAGGAAAGGGGCUGCUGCUUCUCCUGCAACCCCAAGAAAUCGAAUAGUUCGUGUGGGCUCCCCUGGACCAUCAAGGACAAUCUACCUGCAUCUCCAGAGUUUGCAGCCUUCAUCACAUCUGCAGAGCCCCUUUUUUCUACAAUGA
rnacentral:lncRNA from 1 species